AGUGAACGCUGGCGGUAGGCCUAACACAUGCAAGUCGAACGGCAGCACAGUAAGAGCUUGCUCUUACGGGUGGCGAGUGGCGGACGGGUGAGGAAUACAUCGGAAUCUACUUUUUCGUGGGGGAUAACGUAGGGAAACUUACGCUAAUACCUCAUACUACCUACGGGUUAAAGCAGGGGAUCUUCGGACCUUGCGCGAUUGAAUGAGCCGAUGUCGGAUUAGCUAGUUGGCGGGGUAAAGGCCCACCAAGGCGACGAUCCGUAGCUGGUCUGAGAGGAUGAUCAGCCACACUGGAACUGAGACACGGUCCAGACUCCUACGGGAGGCAGCAGUGGGGAAUAUUGGGCAAUGGGCGCAAGCCUGAUCCAGCCAUACCGCGUGGGUGAAGAAGGCCUUCGGGUUGUAAAGCCCUUUUGUUGGGAAAGAAAAGCAGCAGGUUAAUACCCCGAUGUUCUGACGGUACCCAAAGAAUAAGCACCGGCUAACUUCGUG
rnacentral:rRNA from 1 species